rfam:Triticum aestivum genome assembly, contig: Triticum_aestivum_CS42_TGACv1_scaffold_329009_4BS
CAAGUACUCCCUCCGUCCGGAAUUACUUGUCAUCAAAAUGGAUGUGUCUAGAACUAAAAUACAUCUAGAUACAUCCAUUUCAAUGACAAGUAUUUCUGGACGGAGGGAGUACAAG